AGAGUUUGAUCCUGGCUCAGAACGAACGCUGGCGGCGUGGAUAAGACAUGCAAGUCGAACGAGAGAAUUGCUAGCUUGCUAAUAAUUCUCUAGUGGCGCACGGGUGAGUAACACGUGAGUAACCUGCCCCCGAGAGCGGGAUAGCCCUGGGAAACUGGGAUUAAUACCGCAUAGUAUCGAAAGAUUAAAGCAGCAAUGCGCUUGGGGAUGGGCUCGCGGCCUAUUAGUUAGUUGGUGAGGUAACGGCUCACCAAGGCGAUGACGGGUAGCCGGUCUGGGAGGAUGUCCGGCCACACUGGAACUGAGACACGGUCCAGACACCUACGGGUGGCAGCAGUCGAGAAUCAUUCACAAUGGGGGAAACCCUGAUGGUGCGACGCCGCGUGGGGGAAUGAAGGUCUUCGGAUUGUAAACCCCUGUCAUGUGGGAGCAAAUUAAAAAGAUAGUACCACAAGAGGAAGAGACGGCUAACUCUGUGCCAGCAGCCGCGGUAAUACAGAGGUCUCAAGCGUUGUUCGGAAUCACUGGGCGUAAAGCGUGCGUAGGCUGUUUCGUAAGUCGUGUGUGAAAGGCGCGGGCUCAACCCGCGGACGGCACAUGAUACUGCGAGACUAGAGUAAUGGAGAGGGAACCGGAAUUCUCGGUGUAGCAGUGAAAUGCGUAGAUAUCGAGAGGAACACUCGUGGCGAAGGCGGGUUCCUGGACAUUAACUGACGCUGAGGCACGAAGGCCAGGGGAGCGAAAGGGAUUAGAUACCCCUGUAGUCCUGGCAGUAAACGGUGCACGCUUGGUGUGCGGGGAAUCGACCCUCUGCGUGCCGGAGCUAACGCGUUAAGCGUGCCGCCUGGGGAGUACGGUCGCAAGAUUAAAACUCAAAGAAAUUGACGGGGACCCGCACAAGCGGUGGAGUAUGUGGCUUAAUUCGAUGCAACGCGAAGAACCUUACCUGGGCUUGACAUGUAAUGAACAACAUGUGAAAGCAUGCGACUCUUCGGAGGCGUUACACAGGUGCUGCAUGGCCGUCGUCAGCUCGUGUCGUGAGAUGUUUGGUUAAGUCCAGCAACGAGCGCAACCCCUGUUGCCAGUUACCAGCACGUGAAGGUGGGGACUCUGGCGAGACUGCCCAGAUCAACUGGGAGGAAGGUGGGGACGACGUCAGGUCAGUAUGGCCCUUAUGCCCAGGGCUGCACACGUACUACAAUGCCCAGUACAGAGGGGGCCGAAGCCGCGAGGCGGAGGAAAUCCUAAAAACUGGGCCCAG
rnacentral:rRNA from 1 species